GAAUCUAAGGGAUAUAACUUCUACCAUGCUAAACAACAAGAGUUGUUCGGUAUUUCUUUUAGAAAAAGAGUAUGUUGGUGAAGGUACUGAUGCCUUUAAUAUAGAACUUAUGAAGUUCGACAGAUAGAAGAAUCGAAAUAAUCUGGUGAACCAGUAGAACCAAAUUUGAUUAGAUCAAACUUGGAAUCCAUUGUAGAGGCACCAUGAAGG
rnacentral:lncRNA from 1 species